CCUACUGGGCGCAGCAGUGGGGAAUAUUGGGCAAUGGGCGCAAGCCUGACCCAGCAACGCCGCGUGAAGGAAGAAGUAUUUCGGUAUGUAAACUUCUAUCAGCAGGGAAGAAAAUGACGGUACCUGACUAAGAAGCCCCGGCUAACUACGUGACAGCAGCCGCGGUAAUACGUCGGGGGCAAGCGUUAUCCGGAUUUACUGGGUGUAAAGGGAGCGUAGGCGGCGAUGCAAGUCAGAAGUGAAAGUGCGGGUGUCAACUCCGGGACUGCUUUUGAAACUGUGUUUCUAGAUUGCAGGAGAGGUAAGUGGAAUUCCUAGUGUAGCGGUGAAAUGCGUAGAUAUUAGGAGGAACACCAGUGGUGAAGGCGGCUUACUGGACUGUAAAUGACGCUGAGGCUCGAAAGCGUGGGGAGCAAACAGGAUUAGAUACCCUUGUAGUC
rnacentral:rRNA from 1 species